rnacentral:rRNA from 1 species
UAACCAUGCAAGUCGAGCGGAAACGAGUUAUCUGAACCUUCGGGGAACGAUAACGGCGUCGAGCGGCGGACGGGUGAGUAAUGCCUAGGAAAUUGCCCUGAUGUGGGGGAUAACCAUUGGAAACGAUGGCUAAUACCGCAUAAUGCCUACGGGCCAAAGAGGGGGACCUUCGGGCCUCUCGCGUCAGGAUAUGCCUAGGUGGGAUUAGCUAGUUGGUGAGGUAAUGGCUCACCAAGGCGACGAUCCCUAGCUGGUCUGAGAGGAUGAUCAGCCACACUGGAACUGAGACACGGUCCAGACUCCUACGGGAGGCAGCAGUGGGGAAUAUUGCACAAUGGGCGCAAGCCUGAUGCAGCCAUGCCGCGUGUGUGAAGAAGGCCUUCGGGUUGUAAAGCACUUUCAGUCGUGAGGAAGGGAGUGUAGUUAAUAGCUGCAUUAUUUGACGUUAGCGACAGAAGAAGCACCGGCUAACUCCGUGCCAGCAGCCGCGGUAAUACGGAGGGUGCGAGCGUUAAUCGGAAUUACUGGGCGUAAAGCGCAUGCAGGUGGUUUGUUAAGUCAGAUGUGAAAGCCCGGGGCUCAACCUCGGAAUUGCAUUUGAAACUGGCAGACUAGAGUACUGUAGAGGGGGGUAGAAUUUCAGGUGUAGCGGUGAAAUGCGUAGAGAUCUGAAGGAAUACCGGUGGCGAAGGCGGCCCCCUGKACAGAUACUGACACUCAGAUGCGAAAGCGUGGGGAGCAAACAGGAUUAGAUACCCUGGUAGUCCACGCCGUAAACGAUGUCUACUUGGAGGUUGUGGCCUUGAGCCGUGGCUUUCGGAGCUAACGCGUUAAGUAGACCGCCUGGGGAGUACGGUCGCAUGAUUAAAAACUCAAAUGAAUUGACGGGGGCCCGCAUAAGCGGUGGAGCAUGUGGUUUAAUUCGAUGCAACGCGAUAACCCUGACCUA